rnacentral:rRNA from 1 species
UACAGAGGGGGCAAGCGUUGUUCGGAAUUACUGGGCGUAAAGGGCGCGUAGGCGGCCUGUUAAGUCGAACGUGAAAUCCCCGGGCUCAACCCGGGAACUGCGUCCGAUACUGGCAGGCUUGAAUCCGGGAGAGGGAUGCGGAAUUCCAGGUGUAGCGGUGAAAUGCGUAGAUAUCUGGAGGAACACCGGUGGCGAAGGCGGCAUCCUGGACCGGCAUUGACGCUGAGGCGCGAAAGCAUGGGGAGCAAACAGG